rnacentral:misc_RNA from 1 species
GAAAAAAAUGAGGACGGGCUGGACCUCUCGGGGUUACAGCCUUGCUGAAUUAUUCACCCUUGUCUUUUGCGUACUUCUUGUUUCCUUGGUGGGUUCGCCCACCACUAGGACAAACAUAAACCUUUUGUAAUUGCAAUCAGCGUCAGUAACAAAUUAAUAAUUACAACUUUCAACAACGGAUCUCUUGGUUCUGGCAUCGAUGAAGAACGCAGCGAAAUGCGAUAAGUAGUGUGAAUUGCAGAAUUCAGUGAAUCAUCGAAUCUUUGAACGCACAUUGCGCCCUUUGGUAUUCCAAAGGGCAUGCCUGUUCGAGCGUCAUUUGUACCCUCAAGCUUUGCUUGGUGUUGGGCGUCUUGUCUCUAGCUUUGCUGGAGACUCGCCUUAAAGUAAUUGGCAGCCGGCCUACUGGUUUCGGAGCGCAGCACAAGUCGCACUCUCUAUCAGCAAAGGUCUAGCAUCCAUUAAGCCUUUUUUUCAACUUUUGACCUCGGAUCAGGUAGGGAUACCCGCUGAACUUAAGCAUAUCAAUAAGNCGGAGGAAA